CACCCACGGGAAUACCGAGGGUGCAAGCGUUAAUCGGAAUUACUGGGCGUAAAGCGCGCGUAGGUGGUUUGUUAAGUUGGAUGUGAAAUCCCCGGGCUCAACCUGGGAACUGCAUCCAAAACUGGCAAGCUAGAGUAUGGUAGAGGGUGGUGGAAUUUCCUGUGUAGCGGUGAAAUGCGUAGAUAUAGGAAGGAACACCAGUGGCGAAGGCGACCACCUGGACUGAUACUGACACUGAGGUGCGAAAGCGUGGGGAGCAAACAGGAUUAGAGACCCCUGUAGUCCCUGUCUCUUAUACACA
rnacentral:rRNA from 1 species